GAUGAACGCUGGCGGCGUGCCUAAUACAUGCAAGUCGAGCGAACAGACGAGGAGCUUGCUCCUUUGACGUUAGCGGCGGACGGGUGAGUAACACGUGGAUAACCUACCUAUAAGACUGGGAUAACUUCGGGAAACCGGAGCUAAUACCGGAUAACAUGUUGAACCGCAUGGUUCAACAGUGAAAGACGGUCUUGCUGUCACUUAUAGAUGGAUCCGCGCCGCAUUAGCUAGUUGGUAAGGUAACGGCUUACCAAGGCAACGAUGCGUAGCCGACCUGAGAGGGUGAUCGGCCACACUGGAACUGAGACACGGUCCAGACUCCUACGGGAGGCAGCAGUAGGGAAUCUUCCGCAAUGGGCGAAAGCCUGACGGAGCAACGCCGCGUGAGUGAACAAGGUCUUCGGAUCGUAAAACUCUGUUAUUAGGGAAGAACAAAUGUGUAAGUAACUAUGCACGUCUUGACGGUACCUAAUCAGAAAGCCACGGCUAACUACGUG
rnacentral:rRNA from 1 species